CCUANGGGGGUCAGCAGUGAGGAAUAUUGCACAAUGGAGGAAACUCUGAUGCAGCAACGCCGCGUGGAGGAUGACGCAUUUCGGUGUGUAAACUCCUUUUAUUAGGGAAGAUAAUGACGGUACCUAAUGAAUAAGCACCGGCUAACUCCGUGCCAGCAGCCGCGGUAAUACGGAGGGUGCAAGCGUUACUCGGAAUCACUGGGCGUAAAGGGUGCGUAGGCUGGCUUCUAAGUCAGAUGUGAAAUCCAAUGGCUCAACCAUUGAACUGCAUUUGAAACUGGGAGCCUAGAGUUCAGAAGGGGCAGAUGGAAUUAGUGGUGUAGGGGUAAAAUCCGUAGAUAUCACUAGGAAUAUCAAAAGCGAAGGCGAUCUGCUGGGAUGAUACUGACGCUGAGGCACGAAAGCGUGGGGAGCAAACAGGAUUAGAUACCCCANUANUC
rnacentral:rRNA from 1 species